rnacentral:rRNA from 1 species
UACGGAGGGGGCUAGCGUUGUUCGGAAUUACUGGGCGUAAAGCGCACGUAGGCGGCUUGGUAAGUUAGAGGUGAAAGCCUGGAGCUCAACUCCAGAAUUGCCUUUAAGACUGCCGAGCUAGCAGGUGAGAGAGGUGAGUGGAAUUCCGAGUGUAGAGGUGAAAUUCGUAGAUAUUCGGAAGAACACCAGUGGCGAAGGCGGCUCACUGGCUCAUACUGGACGCUGAGGUGCGAAAGCGUGGGGAACAAACAGG